rnacentral:rRNA from 1 species
GACGAACGCUGGCGGCGUGCUUAACACAUGCAAGUCGAACGGAAAGGCCCUGCUUUUGUGGGGUGCUCGAGUGGCGAACGGGUGAGUAACACGUGAGUAACCUGCCCUUGACUUUGGGAUAACUUCAGGAAACUGGGGCUAAUACCGGAUAGGAGCUCCUGCUGCAUGGUGGGGGUUGGAAAGUUUCGGCGGUUGGGGAUGGACUCGCGGCUUAUCAGCUUGUUGGUGGGGUAGUGGCUUACCAAGGCUUUGACGGGUAGCCGGCCUGCGAGGGUGACCGGCCACAUUGGGACUGAUAUACGGCCCAGACUCCUACGGGAGGCAGCAGUGGGGAAUAGUGCACAAUGGGCGGAAGCCUGAUGCAGCAACGCCGCGUGGGGGAUGACGGCCUUCGGGUUGUAAACCGCUAUCGCCUGUGACGAAGCGUGAGUGACGGUAAUGGGUAAAGAAGCACCGGCUAACUACGUG